rnacentral:lncRNA from 1 species
CACAUUUCACUUGUUUUCUUGGGUUCCUUUCCUCAGAUACUUAAAAAUAUUUUAAUGGAACAUUUGAAUAAGAAAAUAGGUGCAAGUGCAGAAUGGCAGUAUGAUGCAGUAUGUUUUCCUAAACGUAGAUUAAAUCUCCCACUAUGUUAUGUUACUUUCUGUAAAGUAUUCCCUAUCCCUGCUCAUCCUGUAAGGAGCAGAAAGAGUGAAUCUCUGUGAUGGAUGACAGUGUUGUGAGGUUCUUCUGUACUUGUAAAUAGGCCAUAAAUUACGUUGCCUAUUGGCUUCUAAAUACUGGAAAGAUAGUCAUCUGUUGCAGAGUCCCAUUAGCAACUUUUUUCAGCAUGAAAAACGUUUUUAUCUUUUCUGUGUGGGUGUGAAUGUGCAUUGUCUUUUUCUGGUGUUGAGGUACCUAGCAUUGCAUGUAAAAAUGGAAGUAGACCUGCUUGAGUCAUCCAGUGAAGACUUGCUUUUGCAAUUCUGUUGCUGUGAUAAGAGAACUCCCACRCACAGUGCACAAGAUGGCCAGAGCUGUAGGUGGUGUGCUGGAAGAGUAUGUAUCAAGCUCCUGCUUCAUUUGCUAUAGAUGUGGUGAGAUCUUAAGUAGACAAAGCAGAGACUGUAAGACGGGAAAGAAAGGGUCUCAUGAGCGAGUCAUUUGCAGGUGACAUAGAAGAGACAAGGACUGCACUUGCUUCUGCUUUAUAUGCAGUCAAUAACUGAACAUUUCCCUACCUUUGGGAUGCCUGUCUAUGUGUUUUUUUUUUUUCUUUGCUAAAAGAGCUGUCGGUUGGACAUUUAGAGUAGCAAAUAAUCUGAAAAAUCAGGUUCUCUCUAUUCUCAGUUCUCUAUUUGUGACAGCGUUCUCAAUUGGGUGACUGUGAAAAUCAACUUGUGAAUUUGUGAGGCCCUCAAACCCGUAGCAAUGAGUGCUAUAAAAACAUCUUGAGGAAAUUAAUAGUCGUCUUUGGAGUAGGGUUUGAAUUGUAUUCAAUAAAAAGUUUGGCCUAUACA